GCCCGGGUGGCUCAGUCGGUUGAGCGUCCAACUUUGGCUCAGGUCACGAUCUCGCGGUCCGUGGGUUCGAGCCCCGCGCCGGGCU
rnacentral:tRNA from 1 species